CUGAUUUUAGAAUUGAAGGGUUUACAGAGUAUACGCCCAAUAUCAGUAUUAGUAGGUCUAAUGUGUGGCGAAAUGAUCUCGACAGCUGAAUGUUUUGUUCCGUUUCGCUCAUAUCGCUUUCUCACAGAGGGACAGUAGUUCAACUAUUCUCUGAAAAUGUUUGCCUCCGCGUUUAUUCUCUCAUUACUGAUAUCACUGCAGCUUUCUUCUUCUUUGGGAAGCUGCAGCAGUCCUGUCUUCUCUGUCUGUUGGGUUCUAAACGUCAGCGCCUCCGUGAAGAGACCAGAUACCAAGAUCUGGCUGGACGGCAAUGAACUUACACCCAUAGGAAGUAAAGGCCAAAUGGUGUCGUUGAUGGUAACAACACUGGAUGUGCAUACAUUACGCGCGGAAUAUGACGGAAUCUCCCAUGUGUGGAACUUUUCAGUUGUUUCUGAUUCCAUCAAUGUGAGCAGUGCACACAGAACUGCAUAUCUCCCCCCCCCAGCAGAAGUGAGGUGAGUGUUACUGACCUUUCAAUCUAGCUGAU